GCACGGCUUUGAAAGGGGGAUGGGAGAGCGAGCAGAAAGCAGAAAAACCAGCUUUGAACUAUGCAUGCAAGGCCUCUUUCAAGCCUCAAAUUCUAGCUGAUAGACACUGCUGGAUUCCAUGGCUGGCUAGGAGAUGAUCUGAUUUCUAGCAGGAGGGCAGUGGGCACCGCGCCACCUGAGCAGGAUGCCGGCCUCACACCUGCCCUGGCUUCGCUGCUAUCUGAACAGCAAAUAUAAGUUUAAAAAAAAAGGAGGGGGGGCACGUGCUUUCAGCUGGGUAACAGGAAUUUAGAUCUUAGCUGCCCUCUUGCCUCUGAGCCUUCACUGCUGACCUCUGGGUUGUCUGUCUGGAGGGCACACCAAUGACCACUAUGAAGCACUGACGCCGACCCUCACUGCCACACACCCCGGCCGCCUCCUCCUCCGAGUGAUGCCAGAUGAACUCAGCCACAAUUACGAACGAGGUGUUCAGGGGCUUAGGAAGGAGCCAGGAGCAGAUGCUCAUUGAAGAUCUGGGCUUUAAAGAGACAGAAACCUGCCCUCCAAUGAUUUAAUAUUUCAUACACGAUAAGAUGAAAAAAUGUGCCUGUCCUAAGACUGCUGAUGAAUGGGAAUACAGAAAUAAGGGGAAAAGGCUCCUAAGAGCUUUAUAUAUCAUAUACGGAAUAGGAGUCAAACAGUGAAGGCAGUUUUUGAUGUAUUUUUCCUAAUGAUCUCAGAUCAAAGGAUCUCGCCUUUAUUAGUGAUUUACCCCAUGCUGUUUUGAAACCUUAUGCAUGUAAAGUGGUUCUUUAAAGAACUCCAAAGCUGAUCUGGCCAUCACUGAUAAAACAGACUCUAAGAUAGAAAUAAAUAAACAAAUAAUAUGAGAGAAGAAAAAAAGAUUUGAAUAAAGGUAAGGUAUACUUCUGAAUUGGAAAUAUAAAUACUGUAGAUACACUGAUAAUUUCCCCCAAACUGAUCGACAGGUUUAAAGUAUUUCCAGUUAAAAUUCAGGUGGACCUCUAUUUUUCCAGGUACUUAACAAAACGAUUCUAAAGUUCACCUGCAAAAAUAAAAGAAAAAGAAGAAUGAGAACACUACUAAUGAGAAAGGCUAGUCCUACCAACUAUGAAGCUGUGGGAUUAAUGACAGUGUGACGGGGCGAAAGAGGCAGAUGAAUGGAACAGAAGCCACAGCCCCAAACUGAGAACUAUGUUGAUACAAAUGUAAUAUUGUAAUAAAGAAUGUAUCUCAAA